rnacentral:lncRNA from 1 species
CACCACUACACAAUCGUCACCUGUACCACACCACCACAACCAUUAACAACAAAAAAAUUGAGGAUCGCCACCUGCACCACACUACCGAUGAAAUCUACCAUAACCACCGCCAACAACAGCAAAAUCGACCACCAUCACCAUUGCCCUCUGUACUACACCACCACAUCCACCAACAAUUAUUGGUGUGUAAAGAUGAUGUUCAGCAAUGUUGUGCAUAGAGCCACCACGUCUUCCUAUGACCACAACCACCAGAUCAGUC